ACUGCUCCAGACUGGAGACCGAGUCUGUCACCCCGGCACUGCCACUAAGAUUGGCCUAGGCCAUCUCUGUGAGAUGAGGAUUCUAAAACAUCAGCAAGAAACCACCAGUGAUGAAUGUGAUUCCAAGGAGAACUUCCAAAGGUAUCUGGGCCUCCUUCAGAGAAAUCCACGGGCAUUGGCUGCAUCCUUGUCGGCAGGUUAACAAAGGCCACAUGAUCCACAGUGCUUAGCUGAGUCCACAGCUCCACAGUCCCAGCUGAGUCCAGACUUUGAGUCAUUUCAGCCCAAGCACGAGACGUGAGUGAAAGAGCCUAGAUGAUUCCGAACCCCAAACCUUCAUAUCUUCUCAACUGAGACCCCAGACAUCAUGCAGUAGAGACACAAGGCAUCAUACUACCAUGCUCUGUCCAAAUCUCCAGCCCAUGGAAACUUCCAGCAUAAUAAAAUGGUUGUU